GUGGGGGCCGUUGGCUCCAGACAAAUAAACAUGGAGUCCAUCUUCCACGAGAAACAAGAAGGCUCACUUUGUGCUCAACAUUGCCUGAAUAACUUAUUGCAAGGAGAAUAUUUUAGCCCUGUGGAAUUAUCCUCAAUUGCACAUCAGCUGGAUGAGGAGGAGAGGAUGAGAAUGGCAGAAGGAGGAGUUACUAGUGAAGAUUAUCGCACGUUUUUACAGCAGCCUUCUGGAAAUAUGGAUGACAGUGGUUUUUUCUCUAUUCAGAAAUGAAAGAUCAUUUAUAUGCAAUUAUAAGGAACACUGGUUUACAGUUAGAAAAUUAGGAAAACAGUGGUUUAACUUGAAUUCUCUCUUGACGGGUCCAGAAUUAAUAUCAGAUACAUAUCUUGCACUUUUCUUGGCUCAAUUACAACAGGAAGUCACUCAAUGAGACGGCUCUUCCAGUCUUACAAUGGAGAAAGUGAGGCUCAGAGACUUUAAGUAACUUACCUUAGACGACUUUACUAGUAAGUUAUUCUAUAUUUGUCGUUAAGGGUGAUCUGCCAGAUUGCGAAGCUGACCAACUCCUGCAGAUGAUUAGGGUCCAACAGAUGCAUCGACCAAAACUUAUUGGAGAAGAAUUAGCACAACUAAAAGAGCAAAGAGUCCAUAAAACAGACCUGGAACGAGUGUUAGAAGCAAAUGAUGGCUCAGGAAUGUUAGACGAAGAUGAGGAGGAUUUGCAGAGGGCUCUGGCACUAAGUCGCCAAGAAAUUGACAUGGAAGAUGAGGAAGCAGAUCUCCGCAGGGCUAUUCAGCUAAGUAUGCAAGGUAGUUCCAGAAACAUAUCUCAAGAUAUGACACAGACAUCAGGUACAAAUCUUACUUCAGAAGAGCUUCGGAAGAGACGAGAAGCCUACUUUGAAAAUCACAACUCAGAAGUAGAUGAAGGAAAAUUCUGAUCAGCUGACAUCCUCUUAAUACAGCAGCAAAAGCAGCAACAGCAGCAGCAGCAGCAGCAGCAGGGGGACCUAUCAGGACAGAGUUCACAUCCAUGUGAAAGGCCAGCCACCAGUUCAGGAGCACUUGGGAGUGAUCUAGGUGAUGCUAUGAGUGAAGAAGACAUGCUUCAGGCAGCUGUGACCAUGUCUUUAGAAACUGUCAGAAAUGAUUUGAAAACAGAAGGAAAAAAAUAAUACCUUUAAAAAAUAAUUUAGAUAUUCAUACUUUCCAACAUUAUCCUGUGUGAUUACAGCAUAGGGUCCACUUUGGUAAUGUGUCAAAGAGAUGAGGAAAUAAGACUUUUAGCGGUUUGCAAACAAAAUGAUGGGAAAGUGGAACAAUGCGUCGGUUGUAGGACUAAAUAAUGAUCUUCCAAAUAUUAGCCAAAGAGGCAUUCAGCAAUUAAAGACAUUUAAAAUAGUUUUCUAAAUGUUUCUUUUUCUUUUUUGAGUGUGCAAUAUGUAACAUGUCUAAAGUUAGGGCAUUUUUCUUGGAUCUUUUUGCAGACUAGCUAAUUAGCUCUCGCCUCAGGCUUUUUCCAUAUAGUUUGUUUUCUUUUUCUGUCUUGUAGGUAAGUUGGCUCACAUCAUGUAAUAGUGGCUUUCAUUUCUUAUUAACCAAAUUAACCUUUCAGGAAAGUAUCUCUACUUUCCUGAUGUUGAUAAUAGUAAUGGUUCUAGAAGGAUGAACAGUUCUCCCUUCAACUGUAUACCGUGUGCUCCAGUGUUUUCUUGUGUUGUUUUCUCUGAUCACAACUUUUCUGCUACCUGGUUUUCAUUAUUUUCCCACAAUUCUUUUGAAAGAUGGUAAUCUUUUCUGAGGUUUAGCGUUUUAAGCCCUACGAUGGGAUCAUUAUUUCAUGACUGGUGCGUUCCUAAACUCUGAAAUCAGCCUUGCACAAGUACUUGAGAAUAAAUGAGCAUUUUUUAAAAUGUGUGAGCAUGUGCUUUCCCAGAUGCUUUAUGAAUGUCUUUUCACUUAUAUCAAAACCUUACAGCUUUGUUGCAACCCCUUCUUCCUGCGCCUUAUUUUUUCCUUUCUUCUCCAAUUGAGAAAACUAGGAGAAGCAUAGUAUGCAGGCAAGUCUCCUUCUGUUAGAAGACUAAACAUACGUACCCACCAUGAAUGUAUGAUACAUGAAAUUUGGCCUUCAAUUUUAAUAGCAGUUUUAUUUUAUUUUUUCUCCUAUGACUGGAGCUUUGUGUUCUCUUUACAGUUGAGUCAUGGAAUGUAGGUGUCUGCUUCACAUCUUUUAGUAGGUAUAGCUUGUCAAAGAUGGUGAUCUGGAACAUGAAAAUAAUUUACUAAUGAAAAUAUGUUUAAAUUUAUACUGUGAUUUGACACUUGCAUCAUGUUUAGAUAGCUUAAGAACAAUGGAAGUCACAGUACUUAGUGGAUCUAUAAAUAAGAAAGUCCAUAGUUUUGAUAAAUAUUCUCUUUAAUUGAGAUGUACAGAGAGUUUCUUGCUGGGUCAAUAGGAUAGUAUCAUUUUGGUGAAAACCAUGUCUCUGAAAUUGAUGUUUUAGUUUCAGUGUUCCCUAUCCCUCAUUCUCCAUCUCCUUUUGAAGCUCUUUUGAAUGUUGAAUUGUUCAUAAGCUAAAAUCCAAGAAAUUUCAGCUGACAACUUCGAAAAUUAUAAUAUGGUAUAUUGCCCUCCUGGUGUGUGGCUGCACACAUUUUAUCAGGGAAAGUUUUUUGAUCUAGGAUUUAUUGCUAACUAACUGAAAAGAGAAGAAAAAAUAUCUUUUAUUUAUGAUUAUAAAAUAGCUUUUUCUUCGAUAUAACAGAUUUUUUAAGUCAUUAUUUUGUGCCAAUCAGUUUUCUGAAGUUUCCCUUACACAAAAGGAUAGCUUUAUUUUAAAAUCUAAAGUUUCUUUUAAUAGUUAAAAAUGUUUCAGAAGAAUUAUAAAACUUUAAAACUGCAAGGGAUGUUGGAGUUUAGUACUACUCCCUCAAGAUUUAAAAAGCUAAAUAUUUUAAGACUGAACAUUUAUGUUAAUUAUUACCAGUGUGUUUGUCAUAUUUUCCAUGGAUAUUUGUUCAUUACCUUUUUCCAUUGAAAAGUUACAUUAAACUUUUCAUACACUUGAAUUGAUGAGCUACCUAAUAUAAAAAUGAGAAAACCAAUAUGCAUUUUAAAGUUUUAACUUUAGAGUUUAUAAAGUUCAUAUAUACCCUAGUUAAAGCACUUAAGAAAAUAUGGCAUGUUUGACUUUUAGUUCCUAGAGAGUUUUUGUUUUUGUUUUUGUUUUUUUUUGAGACGGAGUCUUGCUAUGUCUCCCAGGCUGGAGGGCAGUGGCAUGAUCUCGGCUCACUACAACUUCCACCUCCCGGGUUCAAGCAAUUCUCCUGCCUCAGCCUCCAGAGUAGCUGGGAUUACAGGCGCCCACCACCACACCCGGCAGAUUUUUGUAUUUUUGGUAGAGACGCGGUUUCAUCAUGUUUGGCCAGGCUGGUCUCGAACUCCUGACCUCAGGUGAUCCGCCUGCCUUGGCCUCCCAAAGUGUUGGGAUUACAGGCAUGAGCCACUGCGCCUGGCCAGCUAGAGAGUUUUUAAAGCAGAGCUGAGCACACACUGGAUGCGUUUGAAUGUGUUUGUGUAGUUUGUUGUGAAAUUGUUACAUUUAGCAGGCAGAUCCAGAAGCACUAGUGAACUGUCAUCUUGGUGGGGUUGGCUUAAAUUUAAUUGACUGUUUAGAUUCCAUUUCUUAAUUGAUUGGCCAGUAUGAAAAGAUGCCAGUGCAAGUAACCAUAGUAUCAAAAAAGUUAAAAAUUAUUCAAAGCUAUAGUUUAUACAUCAGGUACUGCCAUUUACUGUAAACCACCUGCAAGAAAGUCAGGAACAACUAAAUUCACAAGAACUGUCCUGCUAAGAAGUGUAUUAAAGAUUUCCAUUUUGUUUUACUAAUUGGGAACAUCUUAAUGUUUAAUAUUUAAACUAUUGGUAUCAUUUUUCUAAUGUAUAAUUUGUAUUACUGGGAUCAAGUAUGUACAGUGGUGAUGCUAGUAGAAGUUUAAGCCUUGGAAAUACCACUUUCAUAUUUUCAGAUGUCAUGGAUUUAAUGAGUAAUUUAUGUUUUUAAAAUUCAGAAUAGUUAAUCUCUGAUCUAAAACCAUCAAUCUAUGUUUUUUACGGUAAUCAUGUAAAUAUUUCAGUAAUAUAAACUGUUUGAAAAGGCUGCUGCAGGUAAACUCUAUACUAGGAUCUUGGCCAAAUAAUUUACAAUUCACAGAAUAUUUUAUUUAAGGUGGUGCUUUUUUUUUUUGUCCUUAAAACUUGAUUUUUCUUAACUUUAUUCAUGAUGCCAAAGUAAAUGAGGAAAAAAACUCAAAACCAGUUGAGUAUCAUUGCAGACAAAACUACCAGUAGUCCAUAUUGUUUAAUAUUAAGUUGAAUAAAAUAAAUUUUAUUUCAGUCAGAGCCUAAAUCACAUUUUGAUUGUCUGAAUUUUUGAUACUAUUUUUAAAAUCAUGCUAGUGGCGGCUGGGCGUGGUAGCUCACGCCUGUAAUCCCAGCAUUUUGGGAGGCCGAAGUGGGUGGAUCACGAGGUCGGGAGUUCGAGACCAGCUUGGCCAAAAUGGUGAAACCCCAUCUGUACUAAAAACUACAAAAAUUAGCUGGGCGCGGUGGCAGGUGCCUGUAAUCCCAGCUACCUGGGAGUCUGAGGCAGGAGAAUUGCUUGAACCCUGGCGACAGAGGAUGCAGUGAGCCAAGAUGGUGCCACUGUACUCCAGACUGGGCGACAGAGUGAGACUCUGUCUCAAAAAAAAAAAAAAAAUCAUGCUAGUGCCAAGAGCUACUAAAUUCUUAAAACCGGCCCAUUGGACCUGUACAGAUAAAAAAUAGAUUCAGUGCAUAAUCAAAAUAUGAUAAUUUUAAAAUCUUAAGUAGAAAAAUAAAUCUUGAUGUUUUAAAUUCUUACGAGGAUUCAAUAGUUAAUAUUGAUGAUCUCCCGGCUGGGUGCAGUGGCUCACGCCUGUAAUCCCAGCAGUUCUGGAGGCUGAGGUGGGCGAAUCACUUCAGGCCAGGAGUUCAAGACCAGUCUGGGCAACAUGGUGAAACCUCGUUUCUACUAAAAAUACAAAAAUUAGCCGGGCGUGGUUGCACACACUUGUAAUCCCAGCUACUCAGGAGGCUAAGAAUCGCAUGAGCCUAGGAGGCAGAGGUUGCAGAGUGCCAAGGGCUCACCACUGCAUUCCAGCCUGCCCAACAGAGUGAGACACUGUUUCUGAAAAAAAAAAAUAUAUAUAUAUAUAUAUAUAUGUGUGUAUAUAUAUAUGUAUAUAUAUAUGACUUCCUAUUAAAAACUUUAUCCCAGUCGGGGGCAGUGGCUCACGCCUGUAAUCCCAACACUUUGGGAGGCUGAGGCAGGUGGAUCACCUGAAGUCCGGAGUUUGAGACCAGCCUGGCCAACAUGGUGAAACCCCAUCUCUACUAAAAAUACAAAACUUAAGCCAGGUAUGGUGGCGGGCACCUGUAAUCCCAGUUACUUGGGAGGCUGAGGCAGGAGAAUCGUUUAAACCCAGGAGGUGGAGGUUGCAGUGAGCUGAGAUCGUGCCAUUGCACUCUAGCCUGGGCAACAAGAGUAAAACUCCAUCUUAAAGGUUUGUUUGUUUUUUUUUAAUCCGGAAACGAAGAGGCGUUGGGCCGCUAUUUUCUUUUUCUUUCUUUCUUUCUUUCUUUUUUUUUUUUUCUGAGACGGAGUCUAGCUCUGCUGCCCAGGCUGGAGUACAAUGACACGAUGUUGGCUCACUGCAACCUCCACCUCCUGGGUUCAAGCGAUUCUCCUGCCUCAGCCUCCCAAGUACCUGGGAUUACAGGCACCUGCCACUACACCUGGCGAAUAUUUGUUUUUUUUAGUAGAGACGGGCUUUUACCAUGUUAGGCUGGUCUCAAACUCCUGACCUCAGGUGAUCUGCCUGCCUUGGCCUCCCAAAGUGCUGGGAUUACAGGUGCAGGCCACCACACCCGGCCUUGGGCCACUGUUUUCAAAGUGAAUUGUUUGUUGUAUCGAGUCCUUAAGUAUGGAUAUAUAUGUGACCCUAAUUAAGAACUACCAGAUUGGAUCAACUAAUCAUGUCAGCAAUGUAAAUAACUUUAUUUUUCAUAUUCAAAAUAAAAACUUUCUUUUAUUUCUGGCCCCUUUAUAACCAGCAUCUUUUUGCUUUAAAAAAUGACCUGGCUUUGUAUUUUUUUAGUCUUAAACAUAAUAAAAAUAUUUUUGUUCUAAUUUGCUUUCAUGAGUGAAGAUUAUUGACAUCGUUGGUAAAUUCUAGAAUUUUGAUUUUGUUUUUUAAUUUGAAGAAAAUCUUUGCUAUUAUUAUUUUUUCCAAGUGGUCUGGCAUUUUAAGAAUUAGUGCUAAUAACGUAACUUCUAAAUUUGUCGUAAUUGGCAUGUUUAAUAGCAUAUCAAAAAACAUUUUAAGCCUGUGGAUUCAUAGACAAAGCAAUGAGAAACAUUAGUAAAAUAUAAAUGGAUAUUCCUGAUGCAUUUAGGAAGCUCUCAAUUGUCUCUUGCAUAGUUCAAGGAAUGUUUUCUGAAUUUUUUUAAUGCUUUUUUUUUUUUUGAAAGAGGAAAACAUACAUUUUUAAAUGUGAUUAUCUAAUUUUUACAACACUGGGCUAUUAGGAAUAACUUUUUAAAAAUUACUGUUCUGUAUAAAUAUUUGAAAUUCAAGUACAGAAAAUAUCUGAAACAAAAAGCAUUGUUGUUUGGCCAUGAUACAAGUGCACUGUGGCAGUGCCGCUUGCUCAGGACCCAGCCCUGCAGCCCUUCUGUGUGUGCUCCCUCGUUAAGUUCAUUUGCUGUUAUUACACACACAGGCCUUCCUGUCUGGUCGUUAGAAAAGCCGGGCUUCCAAAGCACUGUUGAACACAGGAUUCUGUUGUUAGUGUGGAUGUUCAAUGAGUUGUAUUUUAAAUAUCAAAGAUUAUUAAAUAAAGAUAAUGUUUGCUUUUCUA